UAAGGGGCCUGACCGGACCCCCCGUUGAAGACGGCCAAUUACCAACAGGAUUCCCGCCUCCGAUGGAUUCGCGCUUUCCUGAGGAAAAGAAGAUACGUGCAAAGUUAGAGACGAUCGGGGUUCACGUCGUCCCGCGGGUGGAAGCGCCGAUUCUGUCUCGGAGAUGCUGCUUUAUCGUGGCCCUCUUCCGGUAGUCGUGCUGGACAUGGUGUUACCGUGCAUCGGCAACGCAGCUGCUAUACCGACAAACACUGCUCUUGGCGUAUAGAUCUUCGAAAUAUGAAGCCACUGGAAUUAUACUUACGGAAUCAUAUUUUGGACGGGAUACACAGUCCACAACAAAUUAGGAAGUUCCAGAAAUGUCAAUAUGAGAGAGCAACACUGCCGUUCAAUGUUAGAACUUCAAUGUGUCAGUUUUUGUCGGUAAGAGUGGAUAACACAAUAACAACUGAUCCAUAGUGGAUAAUUUAAGUUUCUGAAGGUUGGUAAGUUACCAAUUCGAUUAGUUUCCGAGAAUCGGUAAGUUACCAGGAUCGAUAAGUUUCCGGGGGCGGUAAAUCUCUUUAUAGCGCAUCGUAAAGGCAGAGUGAGGUUUAAAGAUUCCAAUACUUAGAUUCAAGUAAGGAUGAUACUUCAUAUUUAUCCAAUAUAUAUGAACUAUAGUGUAUUCUCGAAGAAAUAGAUGUCAAUGGGUUUGAUCUGCAUUACGAAGGUAUGAGUAACCUGAAUAAUCUCAUAAAUGUCAAAUAGCUUGGCAUCAGGAAAGGUAAAAAUAACGACUCCUACGGCUUAGAGAAAAUAUCAGCAGAACUUCCGGAGUAAUUUGACAUCUAAGGCGGUGAGAAAAUCACAGAAAGGAUUGAUGAGGCACUGUAUAGAAUGUUUAAUAAGAAGAAAUUGAUUAUUGCAAAUCACAUCAAAUCUGCUGCGUCAGACUUGUAUGAUGUUAGAAGAUUGUAUGCCUGGUUUGACUUGUGAGAACCUUUGGAAAUAUCAAGAGAGAAAUGUUAAUUGAGAGUCAUCUUUAGUAGAAUAACAGUUUGUAGUAAAUGUUCACACAGAAAUAUUCACCUCUAUUUAUAAGUAUUACAUACUAUUUGUGUAAUGUCCCGCGACGCUAAAUGGAAGAAUUUGUACAAAGAUACCGAGCGACUAAUCUUAAGUUUUUAAUAUUGCAUUAGCGGUCGUAAUCAUUACGUGUAUAAUUAUGAUGUAACAUCGCAAUUAUACAUGUAAAUUCACCACGAUCUCAGGCAAAACAGUAAGUAAAGAUGACGUGAGAAUGACGUCGAAAUAAUGAAAAAAGAUCGAAGAAUGAGUUUUACAACCAUUGACUCGUUUUCAUUUUGAUAUUAUUUUGAUGUCACUGUUAUUUUCCUGUUCUGGAAUGAGAAGAUCGUGAAUGCGGUAUGAGAGUAUUCAGGAAGCCGAAUUUUGUCAAUCGGAGAAUCGAUCACCUCUGUCAGCGUCAGCGAAAUUGAAUUCACACACAUCUAUCGUAAUCCACGUGGUAAAUUAUUAUCUUUUCGUUAAGUUCGCU